GCCAUUGUCAAAGAAACCACUCUGCCAUUGCCCUUUUUGACUUGGAUUUGGGCGUCCAGCCAGCAUCCAGCGAGGAUCAUAGGGAGUCUUGGUAGGAACGAAGUCUAUGGUUCUGUCUAUAGGAUCCUUGACCUUGAGGAUAGGAACAGGGCUGUAUACGCUCUUGGGCAUGUAGGAAAGCCACAGCAGGAUAGUGUAGACUCCUUCAAAAUCGUCGCACACGGUGCCGUGGGUCACCCCGUUGUUGUGCAUGAUCUGGAUCCCGCCCAGCUGGUUGUUGGAGGUGUACACCUCCCGUCCCAGCACCUUGUUGAGGGCUCCACAGCC
rnacentral:lncRNA from 1 species